CUUGAGUUGAAAAUUUCUGGCCCUAGCAAUUAUAAAAAACAUAACAGAAAUUAACUGAUAUAACAAAAGAAUCCAUAAAUGGUAAUGCAUAAGAAUAUUUACAGGGGAUAAAAAGGUAUGUCAACAAUUUAGAUAUCCAUUAUAUCCUGAUAUUAUAGUUACUUCACAAAUUCUCAAGCAGCUCUACUUCAAGCCAAUAACACUAUGGUGUCUUAUGACUUGUUAUGAGAGAAAAAGAGAGUGAAGCUAUAUCAAGAUGAUUCCCUGUUAGCAUUAAGUCUAAGACCUUUCAACACCUCGAGUUCACCUUCCAACAAAUUGCCAAUAUUAACUCUUCUAUAUUACAGCUUGAUUAUAGUUGAGACUUUAACAAUUAGUACAAAACUUUAAUUUUGGUAGCCUAAGUUUAUUGUAAGUGCCUAAAUUUACAGAAGUCUUACUACUAUUACUACCAUUUAAACAAUACAACAACAACAAUAAUAAUUAAAUUGGAAUUAAAAGAACAGAGAUAAUUUAUUAGUUCCCACAUAAACUUACCGGUCAUUGUUCCCUAUGAAAGCGUAACAAGUCAUAAAAUUGGUAAGAAAUAGUUUUAGCCAAUAUGAAAGAGAAAAAUCCUUCUUAAAAAAUAACAAAAUAAAAACAAAGGGAGAACAAUACUUGAUAAAGAAACUGUCCAAAUAAUUUAUUGUCUGCCAAAUUACCACAAUUUGCCAUAUACAGCAAUCCGGUUAGUAAACCAUAUUUAUCAUAAUGUACAGCAAUUUAUAAAAAGUCCAACAUAAUUCACUCCCGUCCCCAAAACAUUCUCAUUCUAUAACAUACCAAUUUUCAAACGAAAAUGUCUUCUUGGAACAAAAAAGCCAUAAUCCAUUAUUUAAGGAUGGACAAGAAUAAAAGUAAACCAUAUAAUAUUAAGAUGCAAGUGGUAGAAAUACCUUGAUCCAAAAUCGUAAGC
rnacentral:misc_RNA from 1 species